UUGGACAAUGGGGGAAACCCUGAUCCAGCCAUGCCGCGUGAGUGAAGAAGGCCUUCGGGUCGUAAAGCUCUUUCGCACGUGACGAUGAUAACGGUAACGUGAGAAGAAGCACCGGCUAACUUCGUGCCAGCAGCCGCGGUAAUACGAAGGGUGCAAGCGUUGUUCGGAUUUACUGGGCGUAAAGCGCAUGUAGGCGGUAUAUCAAGUCAGAGGUGAAAAGCCCAAGGCUCAACCUUGGAAUUGCCUUUGAUACUGAUAAACUAGAGUACGAUAGAGGAUAGCGGAAUUUCCAGUGUAGAGGUGAAAUUCGUAGAUAUUGGAAGGAACACCAGUGGCGAAAGCGGCUAUCUGGAUCGUAACUGACGCUAAGAUGCGAAAGCGUGGGUAGCGAACAGGAUUAGAUACCCUGGUAGUCCACGCCGUAAACGAUGAGUGCUAGAUGUUGGGAACAUUUGUUUUCAGUGUCACAGUUAACGCGUUAAGCACUCCGCCUGGGGAGUACGGCCGCAAGGUUAAAACUUAAAGGAAUUGACGGGGACCCGCACAAGCGGUGGAGCAUGUUGUUUAAUUCGAAGAUACGCGAACAACCUUACCUACUCUUGACAUCCCGAUCGCGAAUUUCAGAGAUGAUUUUCUUCAGUUUGGCUGGAUCGGUGACAGAUGCUGCAUGGUUGUCGUCAGCUCGUGUCGUGAGAUGUUGGGUUAAGUCCCGCAACGAGCGCAACCCUUACUGUUAGUUGCCAUCAGGUUAUGCUGGGAACUCUAGCAGAACUGCCGGUGAUAAGCCGGAGGAAGGUGGGGAUGACGUCAAAUCAGCAUGGUUCUUACGAGUAGGGCCACAAACGUGCUACAAUGGUAACUACAAAAAGCGGCAAACUUGCAAGAGUGAGCUAAUCUUUUAAAAGUUAUCUCAGUUCGAAUUGUCCUCUGCAACUCGAGGGCAUGAAGUUGGAAUCGCUAGUAAUCGCAGGUCAGCAUACUGCGGUGAUACGUUCCCGGGUCUUGUACACACCGCCCGUCAUCUCAUGGAAGUUGAUUUUACCCUAAGUCGGUGAGCCAAUCUGGCA
rnacentral:rRNA from 1 species